UUUCUAAUAGAAUUGUAUAAACCUAUUCCUAUUCUAAUAGGAUUGUAUAAACCUAUUCCUAUUCUAAUAGGAUUGUAUAAACCUAUUCCUAUUCUAAUAGGAUUGUAUAAACCUAUUCCUAUUCUAAUAGGAUUGUAUAAACCUAUUCCUAUUCUAAUAGGAUUGUAUAAACCUAUUCCUAUUCUAAUAGGAUUGUAUAAACCUAUUCCUAUUCUAAUAGGAUUGUAUAAACCUAUUCCUAUUCUAAUAGGAUUGUAUAAACCUAUUCAUAUUCUAACAAGGGCCAUGUUUUGUUUGGAUUUCAUCUGAUAAAACUAAUCGACUUAGUGCCCCCAAGGCCUAGCUCAAGUGGCAAAAGGUGGAGGGUUUGUGGCUUAGGUCGCAGGUUCAAGCCCCACACCAUGCAAAGCGAAGCCCGGUAUUUAAGUGGAGAAGGGUAGAGGGGCGGGC
rnacentral:lncRNA from 1 species